rnacentral:rRNA from 1 species
GCGUUGUUCGGAAUCACUGGGCUUAAAGCGUGCGUCGGUGGAUUGGUACGUAAGGAGUGAAAUCCCAGGGCUUAACCCUGGAACUGCUCUUUAGACUGCCUGUCUGGAAUUCGGAAGAGGUUGGUGGAACUCCCAGUGUAGAGGUGAAAUUCGCAGAUAUUGGGAAGAACACCGGUGGCGAAGGCGACCAACUGGUCCGACAUUGACACUGAGGCACGAAAGCGUGGGGAUCAAACAGG